rnacentral:lncRNA from 1 species
AUGGAAACCAAAACUCUUCCAUUAUCAUGAUCGAAUAACAAAUAAAUUUGUGAACACUAUAUACUAACAUGAUAUAAUGGUGUAACUAAUUACCCUUUCAAACGCAUAGCAAAGACACGGCAUUCCUUAUAUGGCAGCAAUCAUAAAAAAUACAAGUUCAUAUAUCAACCCAAAUAUAUCAUUGAAAACAAGUAUAAGUAAGAUCAGUAUAUAUUAAAAAAUGCUAAUACCUUUCAACUACACUACUAUAUUUUCCGAAAAAUUCAACACAAUCAUAUAAUUUCCACAAAAAUUAAGUAUUCAUAUCCCCCAAUUCAUAGGGGCACAAAUUGACACUCAAGGACAUAUAAAUCAUUUUUAAACAAAGAGAACUAAACAAGGUAGUAUAGAUAGAACCUGGAUGAAAUAUACAAGGUACAACUUUCAUAAAUUUAUUCAUCAUUUUCCCGUAUAAUUAAGUUCACCAAGCUGCUAUACUGCUCACAGUUUUUCAAUUUUAACUAGUGGUCAAGAU